rnacentral:tRNA from 1 species
GCGGGCGUAGCUAAAUGGCAGAGCAUGAGCCUUCCAAGUUUCAGAGAAGGGUUCUACUCCCUUCGCCCGCU